CCUACGGGAGGCAGCAGUGGGGAAUAUUGCGCAAUGGGGGCAACCCUGACGCAGCCAUGCCGCGUGAAUGAAGAAGGCCUUCGGGUUGUAAAGUUCUUCCGGUGACGAGGAAGGCGUGAUGUUUAAUAGGCAUCACGAUUGACGUUAAUCACAGAAGAAGCACCGGCUAACUCCGUGCCAGCAGCCGCGGUAAUACGGAGGGUGCGAGCGUUAAUCGGAAUAACUGGGCGUAAAGGGCACGCAGGCGGCUAUUUAAGUGAGGUGUGAAAUCCCCGGGCUUAACCUGGGAAUUGCAUUUCAGACUGGGUAGCUAGAGUACUUUAGGGAGGGGUAGAAUUCCACGUGUAGCGGUGAAAUGCGUAGAGAUGUGGAGGAAUACCGAAGGCGAAGGCAGCCCCUUGGGAAUGUACUGACGCUCAUGUGCGAAAGCGUGGGGAGCAAACAGGAUUAGAGACCCUAGUAGUC
rnacentral:rRNA from 1 species